GCCCGAAUAGCUCAGCUGGCCAGAGCAGCUGUCUUGUAAACAGCAGGUCCUCGGUUCGAAUCCGAGUUCGGGCUCCU
rnacentral:tRNA from 1 species